rnacentral:lncRNA from 10 species
UGGACAGUAAGCAGGGGCAAUGGAGAGCCAUGGGGUUCUGGAUGAGGGACAUGAUGUAUUUGGGGAGAUCACUCAUGCAGCCAGGGAAGAGGUUGGGUUAGAGAGGGAUAAAAAGGGGGCCCAUUUGGGGAUUGGGAACAACCCCUAAGGCGGUAAAGACACCUGGGCUGGUCUGGGGUUUGGGGUUGGAGCAUGCAGAUAAAAGACCACACUGAGGCACAUUUGAAGGAAAACUCCGUGUGAAGAUGAAGGAGUGGUGAGUGGGCUGGGCUGGCCCUAGCAGGUGCAUGACCUGGGAAGGAAUUCUGGGAGAGAUGGGCUGGUCGGGGACUCAAGGUGAUCACAGUGAAUUUCAGGUGAUGCUGGGGAGUCUGGGAGCUGUCUAGUGAGGGGCUAGUGAUGCCAGUUGGAAGUUAGGACUGAAGUACCAAUUUGGGAGUCAUUUUUCCACAUCUAUUGACACUCAAUACACAUAUAAAAUAGGGCCCCUUGGAGGGUCAUUCCUAUGGGGUUGCUAGUUGAAUUUGAAGUCUUGCUUGCAGACGAAUUUGUCAUAGGAAAAAGCGGAGGGGUAAAGCACUGGAAACCUGCAUCCUAAGCCUGGCUGGGCCCCUUCUGCAUAGCGAGGGAGUGAGGAGAGAGCUGCUGGGAGAGUCAGCGAGAGGUUGGAGAACUAGGAGAGGGCAUUGCCAGCGCUGCCGGCUGCAGGGAACAGGCCUAGGAGCUGGCAGAGUAGCAGGGUGGAAGCCAGGAACAGUGGAGCUGCUGAGGGUGAAGAUGACUCAGGGGCGGGAGGAAUUUGGGAGUUCAAGGAGAGUGGACCGAGCCGUGGUUCAGGAGGCAAGUUGAAGAGGGUGUGUACAUGAGAACGGGGCGGUGGUGGGGUGCGGAAACACUGAGGCCUGCAGAGGGGAAGGGAGCAGGAGAAGAGCGUUUCCCUGAACUAGGGUUCACAGGGAACCACCCCCAACCUCAGCCAACCUCAGGUCCAAAGUAGUGGAUUUCUCCAGGCUCUAUUCUCUGACUUCCACCUCCCCGCAACACACACACUUGACCCCCAAUUUGAGGCUAUUUCCUCUGCCCUGGCCUCAAGGAACAUGGAGAAAAAUAGCCUGUGUCCUCACUCAUCUGGCUCCAGGGGAUUCCCUGCCUCCUCUGCCCUCAGCAUUCCCUUCCCUAGGAGAAAGCUCUGCUCCCGUAAGGUGACCUGACUUUAGAGUUUUUCCUAUUUGCCAUCCUCAGUGCAUAUGGGCUUUCAAACAGUGUGUGGGCCACCCUGCAUCUCCCACUUCCCCCAGUCAUCAUCUGCCACUGCUAUUCAGGCCCAACUAGGCUUUUCUUGGCUGUUGCUUUGAUCACAGUCCCUUCUGAGAAGUGGCGCCCCGACUCCCUCCCCCACCAGCUCCCUGGUCUCUUUGAGUCUGUCACCGGAGUUAGGAAUCUGCAUGGGAUGUUGAAAACUCCUCUCCUCUAGGAAUCCUCCUCCAAUUGGGCUCAUUCAAUUCUUAUUGCUCCUUUCCUCGGUUGAGUCUGCAGAUAUGGAGUCCACUUAGAUAACUUUGCAGAUAAAAAGCAGCUCGUGCUCUGCUAUCUGACUGGGAACCAUUUUUGCCUCUAUUGCAUUGUAAUAUUCUGUAAGGGAACUAGAGCUCACCUAGUCCAGGAGUUUCCAAGGAUAUUUUUAACCUUAGAACCUUCAAUUCUGAAUGUACACACACACACACACACACACACACACACACACACACACACAUACACACAGAGAGAGAGAGAGAGAGAGAGAGAGAGAAAAGCAGAAAUACGUUGGCUGAAAUUUACCCUUGCUCUAACCUUUACCCAUAGCAGCCCUAGACACCCCUGAGAACCCUUAGAGCUCCAUGGAGCACAUUCUGAAAGCCCAAUUUCUUCACUUACAGAUGAGAAAGGCCCAGAGAAGUGAAGGGACUCUCCCAAGGUCACACAGCAGGAGCAAAAACUCAGGAUUCCCCCAAUUCCCAAUUCUAGCAUUCUAGGACUUAUUAACAUCCAGCCAAGCUCUCCCUCUAGUGUUUUUUAAAAAUGUAAUUUGUGUUUUUCAUUCAUUCACACAGCAGAUAUUUACUGAGCACCUACUAUGUGCCCAGUACACAGUCUGCCCUUAAGACUAUUAGGUACAAGUCCUAGGAGUCAAUGGGAAGCAAAAACAGACACUGUCUGCCCUCAUAGGGCUUUCAGUCUAGUGGUAGGGACUGAAAAACUUCAUGUGUGAGAAGUGCCACAAAGGAGAGAUCAAUGGUAUGAUAAAGAGGGCUCAUUAAUGGGGGAUUUAACUUAGUUAGAAAGUAACCCACAGCUGAAAGCUAAAGGUAAACUAGGAGAAGAGAGAAGAGUGUUCCAACAGAUCCAGCAGCAGCACAUGCAAAGCCCCUGUGGCAGCAGGGAGUGAGAUGGGGUGAAGGGGUGAGAGAAGGCUGGUGUGGCUGGAGCUCCAGGAGCCAUGGCCAGAUGGGCAGGCAGGGGCCACAUACCAGAUGGGCUGCGCAGGCUGUUAAGUAGUGCUGGGGCUUUAUUCUAGGAUUAGAUUUGUGUUUCAAAAAGAUGUCUCCAGUUGCAAAGGGUAACUGAAUGCCCUGUCCCCAACCCUGACGGAGGUGGGUUCCUUUCAUUCCGUCUCCUUCUUUUGGUCUGCUUCUCUGACUAGUCGUGUUCUGCUUGGGACAUUCUUAGCAGGGCUUGUUUCCACUUUUUGUGCUGUAUCUAUUUCAGCUGUAAGGUACAUAUGUGUGAAUCUUAGUCUGUGAAUGUAUUGCCACUGUAUCAUUCAAUAAAUAUUAAGUUAUUAAGUGCCGCUA